ensembl:lncRNA
AUGGCCCCCUAAUCUGUGCCAGUGUGGUUCCAUGGAUGCAGCCAGUUGACUGGGAGUAGUGGUCCUGGGCCCGAGCCGACGUCGCUCCCCUCCUUGCCCAUAAUAGAUCUGCAGGCUCUCGGGGAGGGGUGAGGGUGGAGUGGGGGGGGGGCACCUGGCCGCCCUCCCUGCCAUCUCUGGCCGGAUCGAUCGCAGAGGCCAUCCCAGCGCGGGAGGGGACCCGGGGUCGUCUUCAAAGGCCUCCUGCCCACUUCCUGCCACCUGGUGUUCCAUUUUGGACAACGGGUGCAUUUCGUCCCCGCUCCCUCCGCCCUCCGUUGCCCUUCUGCAAACGGGUUAAGGACAUGGAGCCGGUUCAGCUCCACCCUGUGAUCUCCUGCAGCCUCCUCCCCAGUCGCCCACACGGGGAGAGAAGAUCUGCUAUGGAAUGAAUAUCUCCAUCUCUCGUUCCCUGUUCCCUGAACAGUAACAAAUGGCAGGACUAUCGAACACACAUUUCAUCUCCACGAGGGCUGUCGGACAAUUAGCUCCAAAAAUACAUAUUAAUCAAUCGAGAUUUUUUUUUUAAUCUGUUCAUCAAGCUCAGCCAUUUUUUUCUCCCUCCAGUACAUUAGCAGAUCUCAGUAUGUCCGCUACUCUUGUGAACGGGGAUGAGAAGGAGACGGAGGGAGAGGAAAUAAAGGUCUGAUGAGUUUGGCAAAGAGAGGAUGGAGGCUGAGACAGAUGGCAUGAAGUCUGCAGCACUCUGGCGUGCCUCGCCUGGUGCUAAAAUCCUCCUCUCUCACAUUCCAACAAAUCCUACCAGGAGGCUGGGGAGUCUGUCACACCACUCCAAGGAUCCGCAUGCCCGUCCCCCCCCUUUCCGUCACCCUGGCCCAACCGAGCCUCUGACCGCUCCGUAUCCCAUUUUAUCCUCGCAUAUGCACACGCGGACAUGUAUAGAGGUCGAUCGUGACGGGACUGGUACGAUAAGAGGCGCCGCCUGACUGCUCUCGCCGAGCAGGAACCGAGGGGACUUCAUUGAGAGAGGUGGCCUUUGCCGUCACUCCGGUUUAAGGAAUCGUACUCAGUAAACACUGGGCCAGAAUCCAGUUGUAUCAGUGGAAGAAGACAUAAGAAGCUUUCUGAUUAGUUUCACCACAGCCUGCAGCCGACUAUGGUCUUGAACAGAAACGCUGUAUCUCAAUCCAAACACGCACCGCUCAGAAGCAUGUUGCAAGACUCCCUGUGGACCUUACAACACAAAAUGGACAGUAAGUGUAACUGUGAUUACACAUUGCGCAAGACCAACAGCUGGAUCACGGGCUCCACGCGGCAGCUGCGUCUCCAAACACGGCACAAUGAUAAAUCCUUUGAAUAUCUGAAGCGUGCUUUCUUUUGCCGGCUCAUAGUGGUUCAUCUAAUAAACACAAUUUAAUUUAUUUUACACUAUGCUCCCUCCCCAUGUCUCUUUCUCGCAGUCUUUCUGCCAGCCUUCUGUUUGUUCUAAUGAAUGACUUCUGAGAUGAGAUGCUGCUGUGAGGAGGUCACGGGAGGCUUCAGAAUCACAUUACUGUUAAUGAUAAUAAAAAGAACAAUCGGCGCGAAACCUCUUGGUUGUCUCUUCCUCUCGCUCCAUAUGGACUGAAUGUAUUAUGCCGCUAUUGUUUUGAAUAUCUUUACAUGUUCGAAUUGCAGUAUUUGCAAUUAAAAUUCACAGUAAAUAUUGUUUUGUGCGUUUAAUGCAGGCGUUGUUUAUUGACAGAAAAGAGCAGAUUAAAGGUAUACAGUGGUGCACCAUCUGGGUUGUAAAGUGCAACUUUCAUGAGAAAAAAGAAAGCUAUUCCCUACGGUAACAUUUGAAGUGCAAAAGUAAUGCAAACAACUUCUAACACUUGGAGUCAGGCUUUAUUUGAUCAAUUCUUAUACUGACAAAACAUUUUUUAGCUUUUGAAAACGGUAUUAUCCAGAUGUAAUCACCUGUACUCGACUUCUAUUAAAUCAAGCAGCUGGAAUCUGUCCAUUUGAAGCUUGCGUUUGCUGAUUUAAAACACUUUUACACCCUCAUGAGCCACAUAUUAAAUCUGGAUACAAUGGCAUUAAAAAACAUCACUUCGACGAGUCAAAUCUUCAGUUUUCAUCCAUAUCAACACAUACUCAAUAGCAAAGCGUUUGCUGGGGUUGUUUACAUGGAGAUCUGACAUUCACGAACAGAUCAUCAGUGACUUUCCCUCCCGACACCACGGAGACGGAGUCGCCGGCUGUCCUUCCUACGUGGCAGGGCUGCGUGGCUUCCCCGGGCUCGUUGGCACCGCAGCUGUCACCCACAGGAUGGGAGAGCGGCGGGGUCGAUGGCUUCGCGGCGUGGCUCCUGGCAGCAGCCGGCCCUUCUCCCGGCCCGGUGAAAGGGGACGAGGAACGAACCCAAUCUCUCGGCGCAUUGAUCGAGGGCCAGCCCUCCAUUAGCCACCGUCGGAGCAAAAGGUCAAGCUAAGGCCAACGGAUGGAUCCUGCGAGCGUCCUACGGAGUGACUCGUUCUCGCAUCCAGGGAGUGAGUCCUUGUCACUCUGGUC